rnacentral:misc_RNA from 1 species
GGUCGCAAUGCAUGGUAUGGUCAGAUGCUAGCGAAGGGUGAGCUGAAUCUAGAGAUGGGAGAUAGCAUCAAAGGGAAAGGGACAAUUCAGGGUGUCUCUGCGGUUGAAGCAUUUUACGAUCUCCUCAGUCAGACCAGCUUAAGUGUGUUAGAUCCAGAAGAAAACAAGCCAGUUGCUCCGACCGAGCUUUGCCCCAUCCUGAGAACACUUUACAAGAUACUGAUCAAAAGGG